rnacentral:snRNA from 1 species
AUCGCUUCUCGGCCUUUUGGCUAAGAUCAAGUGUAGUAUCUGUUCUUAUCAGUUUAAUAUCUGUUAUGCUUUGUGCCUUGGCUGGCUGGCCUGCCGUCGCUUCUAAAGACCAAAA